AAAAUAAAGUGUACUGCAAAGUGGCGGAUGAAAGCGGGAAGAAGCUCUCUGUGGAAGUGGCCAUUAUGCUGAAACUUGCAGGUGAAGCAGAAGGGUCAGUGGGAACAUCAGCACCUGUGUCCUUGCUGGAGUGGUUCGACAUUGGCAAAGAACUGAUCCUGGUGCUGGAGAGACCUGUCCCCGCUGUGGACCUGCAAAAAUACAAAGCAGAAAAUGGAGAUCUUUACCAGAGGACAAGGCCAAGGUCAUUCUGAAGCAACUAGUUGAUGCUGCAAAGGAACUUGAGGAUAAACACAUCUUUCAUCGGGACAUCAAGGGAGAAAACAUUCUGAUUGAGACCGGCUCAGAUGUGCCUCGUGUUCGCAUCAUUGACUUUGGACUGAGCUGCUUUGUUAAGCAGCGAUCUCUGUAUCGCGUCUUCUAUGGUACUCCUCUUCACACCCCUCCCGAGUGGUACAGGAGGAGCUGCUACAGGUGUGGACCCACCACGGUGUGGCAAAUGGGAGUGGUGCUGUAUGAAGCGGUUCAUGCACGGGACUUUGAUACCGAGAGGUUCCUCAGCAAGAAACUGACCAUCAAAAAGCGUCUGUCCACAAAAUGCCGGAAUUUCUUGGAAGCAUGCUUAACUAAAGUCCGGAGAAGCGCCCAACACUGGAGGAGCUCCAGCAUCACCCCUGGCUAAGAUAACACACACAAGCACACAAAUCACAC